rnacentral:lncRNA from 1 species
CGGUGCAUGAAAAUGACAGGAGGGCAAAGUUACAGGUCCACGUGACACGUGUUAUCAUAAAAUAAUGCAAAACAAAGGCACUGACCGAACCAUGGUUACCUUUUAGAAAAAUUCUCACCUACGGGGAAUAACGCUUGGUUAGGUUAGUCUUUAGGGAGUCGUCUUCCUCGCCUUGGAAUUGAAACACCACCAAACCAAUCACUGUACUGCACUACUCUUUUUCCAAAAAACGUAUCCGGAGUUCCAAAAUCAGAAUACGUCAAAGCAGGACACGUGGGGUGAAACUAUGGACGGUGUAAAAAAGAGGGGGGGCGUUCGUUGGCAGCGAGAUGAAAUAGGAAGCGAGAGUAAAGGAGAUGGACACGUUUCGAGAGGAGCAGGGAGUCGUGGAUGGUUUGGUGAAACAGUCUGACGUUUGAAAAUACGGGAAGCUGGUUACGUGGCGGCUAACUCUUGGGUUUGAGAAAGGGUUGGGUUCCGGCAGGUUUCUGGCUGGUUUUCUGCGUGGCAGGGCGGAGCAUUCCGGCGGGUUCGCACAUCAACCGGUUAAAAGGUUGUAUCUGCCGUAGCAUGGAAGCGUUCAUGAAUGUGUGUGUUCUUA